GGGCGCUUAACUCAGCGGUAGAGUGGCUGCCUUACAAGCAGUAAGUCACUGGUUCGAAUCCAGUAGUGCCCA
rfam:Synechococcus elongatus PCC 7942, complete genome.